rnacentral:rRNA from 1 species
UACAGAGGGGGCAAGCGUUAUUCGAAAUUAUUGGGCGUAAAGGGCGCGUAGGCGGCUUUGCAAGCGACGGGUGAAAUCCCUCGGCUUAACCGAGGAACUGCCUGUCGAACUGCUUUGCUUGAGGCCGGGAGAGGUGAGUGGAAUUCCCAGUGUAGCGGUGAAAUGCGUAGAUAUUGGGAGGAACACCAGUGGCGAAGGCGGCUCACUGGACCGGUUCUGACGCUGAGGCGCGAAAGCGUGGGUAGCAAACAGG